UAGGAAGUGGUGUAAUGGGAACACCUAGAGUUUUGUUUUCUUGAAUAGAGGUUCGAGUCCUCUCUUCCUAA
rnacentral:tRNA from 1 species